GCGAAGCUGAGAAUUUAAGCCCCAGUAAACGGCGGUGGUAACUAUAACCAUCCUAAGGUAGCGAAAUUCCUUGUCGGGUAAGUUCCGACCUGCACGAAUGGCGUAACGACUUCCCAGCUGUCUCAACCGCGAACUCGGCGAAAUUGCACUACGAGUAAAGAUGCUCGUUACGCGCAGCAGGCGGAAAGACCCCCGUGACCUUUACUACAGCUUGGUAUUGGUGUUCCGGUGUGGGCCUUGUGUAGGAUAGGUGGGAGACUGUGAAACCUGGACGCUAGUUCAGGUGGAGUCGCCCUUGAAAUACCACCCUGAUUUGUUUGAGGUUCUAACCUAGGUCCAUUAGCUGGAUCGGGGACAGUGCAUGGUAGGCAGUUUGACUGGGGCGGUCUCCUCCCAAAGCGUAACGGAGGAGUUCGAAGGUACGCUAGUUACGGUCGGACAUCGUGACGAUAGUGCAAUGGCAUAAGCGUGCUUAACUGCGAGACUGACAAGUCGAGCAGAUGCGAAAGCAGGACAUAGUGAUCCGGUGGUUCUGUAUGGAAGGGCCAUCGCUCAACGGAUAAAAGGUACUCUGGGGAUAACAGGCUGAUACCGCCCAAGAGUUCAUAUCGACGGCGGUGUUUGGCACCUCGAUGUCGGCUCAUCUCAUCCUGGGGCUGUAGCCGGUCCCAAGGGUAUGGCUGUUCGCCAUUUAAAGAGGUACGUGAGCUGGGUUUAAAACGUCGUGAGACAGUUUGGUCCCUAUCUUCCGUGGGCGCUGCAAGAUUGAGAGAGCCUGCUCCUAGUACGAGAGGACCGGAGUGGACACACCUCUGGUGUAUCGGUUGUCACGCCAGUGGCAUUGCCGAGUAGCUAAGUGUGGAAGAGAUAACCGCUGAAAGCAUCUAAGCGGGAAACUCGUCUCAAGAUGAGUCUUGCCGGGGCCUUGAGCCCCCUGAAGGGUCGUUGUAGACCACGACGUUGAUAGGCUGGGUGUGGAAGCGCAGUAAUGCGUUAAGCUAACCAGUACUAAUUGCCCGUGAGGCUUGACCCU
rnacentral:rRNA from 1 species